AGCGAACGNCUGGCGGCAGCCUAACACAUGCAAGUCGAACGGCUCUUCGGAGCAGUGGCGGACGGGUGAGUAACGCGUGGGAACGUGCCCUUUGGUUCGGAACAACACAGGGAAACUUGUGCUAAUACCGGAUGAGCCCUUCGGGGGAAAGAUUUAUCGCCAUUGGAGCGGCCCGCGUUGGAUUAGGUAGUUGGUGGGGUAAAGGCCCACCAAGCCGACGAUCCAUAGCUGGUCUGAGAGGAUGAUCAGCCACACUGGGACUGAGACACGGCCCAGACUCCUACGGGAGGCAGCAGUGGGGAAUCUUGCGCAAUGGGCGAAAGCCUGACGCAGCCAUGCCGCGUGAAUGAUGAAGGUCUUAGGAUUGUAAAAUUCUUUCACCGGGGAAGAUAAUGACGGUACCCGGAGAAGAAGCCCCGGCUAACUUCGUGCCAGCAGCCGCGGUAAUACGAAGGGGGCUAGCGUUGCUCGGAAUUACUGGGCGUAAAGGGCGCGUAGGCGGACAGUUUAGUCAGAGGUAAAAGCCCAGGGCUCAACCUUGGAACUGCCUUUGAUACUGGCUGUCUUGAGUUCGGGAGAGGUGAGUGGAAUGCCGAGUGUAGAGGUGAAAUUCGUAGAUAUUCGGCGGAACACCAGUGGCGAAGGCGAC
rnacentral:rRNA from 1 species